rnacentral:tRNA from 1 species
GGGGCUGUAGUCUAGCCUGGUUAGGACUCUAGCUUUGGGAGCUAGCAACUCCGGUUCAAAUCCGGGCAGCCCCA